rnacentral:rRNA from 1 species
AGUGAACGCUGGCGGUAGGCCUAACACAUGCAAGUCGAACGGCAGCACAGUAAGAGCUUGCUCUUACGGGUGGCGAGUGGCGGACGGGUGAGGAAUACAUCGGAAUCUACUUUUUCGUGGGGGAUAACGUAGGGAAACUUACGCUAAUACCGCAUACGACCUACGGGUGAAAGCAGGGGAUCUUCGGACCUUGCGCGAUUGAAUGAGCCGAUGUCGGAUUAGCUAGUUGGCGGGGUAAAGGCCCACCAAGGCGACGAUCCGUAGCUGGUCUGAGAGGAUGAUAAGCCACACUGGAACUGAGACACGGUCAAGACUCCUAAGGGAGGCAGCAGUGGGGAAUAUUGGACAAUGGGCGCAAGCCUGAUCCAGCCAUACCGCGUGGGUGAAGAAGGCCUUCGGGUUGUAAAGCCCUUUUGUUGGGAAAGAAAAGCAGCAGGUUAAUACCCCGCUGUUCUGACGGUACCCAAAGAAUAAGCACCGGCUAACUUCGUG